AUAAAGAUAGAAAACUUUGUACUGCAAAAUAUUUAUGUGCCAGAAAAAUAUUGUCUGCGCCAUUUUAUCUUUUUUAAAUAAAUUGUUAUGAGAAGCGAAAACAACAACAACAACAAGCCGGUCGGCGUGAGUGUAGGACAUUUGAAGAGCAUCGGGAGCCGGAAGGCGUUCCACAGCCCAACAACAACAACAACCGAAAAAUUUCAUCUAGAAGAUUUAACCUUCACCCGUCUUUUGCCUACAUUUUUUAUUAUUUUAUUCGCUUCAUACGCACAUUCUUCUUCUUUUUACUCUCUUCAUUCAUUUUCCCUUUUUAUAUUCGCCUGAAAUGCCCAGUUGGUGAAGGUCACCUUCUUCUAUUUAGUGGCGGACUCGUCGCACUUCUGAUCCACUUGUUGCAUUUUUAUUUAAUACACCCGCAGGUUAUUUUACUCUGA
rnacentral:lncRNA from 1 species